CCAGGACUUUGCUGGACCAGCAACUCGGGGCACAGAAAGAGAUUCGCUUUCCUGAAGGGCUUCCAAGUUGGGCACUGGGAGUUCUAGGAUUGGAGGCCAUUUUUCAGGAUGACUCAGGAGCUCCUGGAGAGAGGAGGACUCAGGUCUCACACAGCACUGACUUCAGCGGAAACACACGAGGCAGCCUUGAACUUCAUCGCCCACCCAUUCUGCUCACUGCUGGACCCUACUGCACGCUGCACCUCCUUGGAACCCCCGUUUCCACUCUUAGCUCAUGACUGAGAGAUGGAAACCAUCGGGAGAGAAUGCUGCUGUCCCCUCCCAGCCACCCACCUGUCCUCACCACACCACACAACCAGAUCCUAAAAUAUAU